GACGAACGCUGGCGGCGUGCUUAACACAUGCAAGUCGAACGGUGACGAGGAGCUUGCUCCUCUGAUCAGUGGCGAACGGGUGAGUAACACGUGAGCAACCUGCCCCAGACUCUGGGAUAACAGUUGGAAACAGCUGCUAAUACCGGAUACGAGACGGAGAGGCAUCUCUACCGUCUGGAAAGUUUUUCGGUCUGGGAUGGACUCGCGGCCUAUCAGCUAGUUGGUGAGGUAAUGGCUCACCAAGGCGACGACGGGUAGCCGGCCUGAGAGGGCGACCGGCCACACUGGGACUGAGACACGGCCCAGACUCCUACGGGAGGCAGCAGUGGGGAAUAUUGCACAAUGGGCGCAAGCCUGAUCCAGCCAUGCCGCGUGCAGGAUGAAGGCCUUCGGUUGUAACUGCUUUGUACGGAACGAAAGAACUCUUUCUAAUAAAGAAGGUCCGAUGACGGUACGUAGUAAGUAAUAAGACGACCGGACUAACGUACGUCGACGACGCACC
rnacentral:rRNA from 1 species